rnacentral:rRNA from 2 species
UACGAAGGGGGCUAGCGUUGCUCGGAAUUACUGGGCGUAAAGGGAGCGUAGGCGGAUAGUUUAGUGAGAGGUGAAAGCCCAGGGCUCAACCUUGGAACUGCCUUUCAUACUGGCUAUCUUGAGUACGGGAGAGGUGAGUGGAACUCCGAGUGUAGAGGUGAAAUUCGUAGAUAUUCGGAAGAACACCAGUGGCGAAGGCGACUCACUGGCCCGUUACUGACGCUGAGGCUCGAAAGCGUGGGGAGCAAACAGG